rnacentral:rRNA from 1 species
GACGAACGCUGGCGGCGUGCCUAAUACAUGCAAGUAGAACGCUGAAGGAGGAGCUUGCUCUUCUGGAUGAGUUGCGCACGGGUGAGUAACGCGUAGGUAACCUGCCUGGUAGCGGGGGAUAACUAUUGGAAACGAUAGCUAAUACCGCAUAACAGUAGAUGUUGCAUGACAUUUGCUUAAAAGGUGCAAUUGCACCACUACCAGAUGGACCUGCGUUGUAAUAGCUAGUUGGUGGGGUAACGGCUCACCAAGGCGACGAUACAUAGCCGACCUGAGAGGGUGAUCGGCCAACCUGGGACUGGAGAAAGGCCCAGACGCCUACGGGAGGCAGCAGGAGGGGAUCUUCGGCAAUGGACGGAAGUCUGACCGAGCAACGCCGCGGGAGGGAAGAAGGGUUUCGGAUCGUAAAGCUCUGUUGUAAGGGAAGAACGAGUGUGAGAGUGGAAAGUUCACACUGUGACGGUAUCUUAACAGAAAGGGACGGCUAACUACGUG